rnacentral:misc_RNA from 1 species
AAGUCGUAACAAGGUUUCCGUAGGUGAACCUGCGGAAGGAUCAUUACUGAGUAAAGGGUCGCUAAAUUUAGUGCCUAACUCCCGCCCUUUGUGUAUCAAAUUUAUUCAUCUUUGGCAAAGCGUUCCUUAGUAUUUAAUACUAAGGGCCACUGAUAGUGUAUGCUAUGAGUGAGUCUUUGCCAAAGGCUUCUCCAAACUCUUUAUUAUUCUUGUUGUCUGAGUAAAAUGAAAAUAAAUCAAAA